rnacentral:rRNA from 1 species
GAAUAUUGGCCAAUGGGGGGAACCCUGAUCCAGCCCUGCCGCGUGUGUGAAGAAGGCCUCUUGGUUGUAAAGACCUGUAAGCGAGGAGGAGGAUACUCUAGUUUAUACCUAGCGAUAGUGGACGUUACUAGCAGCAAACGCCCAGGCUCACUCUGUGCCAGCAGCCGCGGUCAUACAGAGGGUGCAAGCGUUAAUCGGAUUUACUGGGCGUAAAGCGCGCGUAGGUGGCCAAUUAAGUCAAAUGUGAAAUCCCCGAGCUUAACUUGGGAAUUGCAUUCGAUACUGGUUGGCUAGAGUAUGGGAGAGGAUGGUAGAAUUCCAGGUGUAGCGGUGAAAUGCGUAGAGAUCUGGAGGAAUACCGAUGGCGAAGGCAGCCAUCUGGCCUAAUACUGACACUGAGGUGCGAAAGCAUGGGGAGCAAACA